rnacentral:tRNA from 1 species
AUUCUUGUAGUUGAAUUAACAACAGUAAUUUUUCAAGUUAUUGGCCUUGGUUAAAAUCCAAGUAGGAAUA